rnacentral:rRNA from 1 species
GACGAACGCUGGCGGCGUGCCUAAUACAUGCAAGUCGAGCGGACAGACGGGAGCUUGCUCCCUGAUGUUAGCGGCGGACGGGUGAGUAACACGUGGGUAACCUGCCUGUAAGACUGGGAUAACUCCGGGAAACCGGGGCUAAUACCGGAUGGUUGUCUGAACCGCAUGGUUCAGACAUAAAAGGUGGCUUCGGCUACCACUUACAGAUGGACCCGCGGCGCAUUAGCUAGUUGGUGAGGUAACGGCUCACCAAGGCAACGAUGCGUAGCCGACCUGAGAGGGUGAUCGGCCACACUGGGACUGAGACACGGCCCAGACUCCUACGGGAGGCAGCAGUAGGGAAUCUUCCGCAAUGGACGAAAGUCUGACGGAGCAACGCCGCGUGAGUGAUGAAGGUUUUCGGAUCGUAAAGCUCUGUUGUUAGGGAAGAACAAGUGCCGUUCAAAUAGGGCGGCACCUUGACGGUACCUAACCAGAAAGCCACGGCUAACUACGUG